UCACAUGCACAAAGCCCUGGGUUUAAUCCUCAGCUUCAAAAGGAUUAUGGGCUAAAGCAAAGUGAUCUAGUUUCCAAGUCUCAAAUAUCCAAGAGUCCCUGGAAAAAUUCAUGUUGUAAGAGACAAAUAUAUGUAAAGCACUCAGUACUAUGCCUACCACACAGUAUAUGGUGAAUGAAGGCUGACCAUAAUUUUCAUUACUUUUAUCAAAGUACCUUAUAAAACAAAAAACAAAAGUGAAAUACAAUACUUAUUCAGAAAAGUGUAUCGAACAGAGUUUCUAAUGAAUAAUUACUAAUUUUGUAUCUGCAUAUUAGCCUAUUUUCUGUUACUAUAACAAAAUAUCUGAAGCCUGGUGUUUACAAACAAAAGAGGUUUAUUUCUGUUGAUAGUACUGGAGGUUCAACAUGUCACUGCAUUCUGCUCAGCCUUGAUGAAGGUGUCUUUGCUGUGUCACAACAUGUUGAUUAGCCCAUGGUAGGAGUAUGUAUGAGAGGGAGACAUCAUCUGGCAAGACAAGAAACCAGAGAUUCAGGGGUCAAGCUUGCUUCUUCAUAACAACUUACUCUUCAGAAAACUCACUCAUUCUAGGAGAAUAAAUCCUUUCUGAGGUUGCUGGCCCUAGAGAUGCCUAUUGUAUUGAGAUGUUUUUACUUACCGAUUUGGAGGUAUUCUUUAUGUAUUUUAAUUCUGAUAAAAAUACACACCACAUGAGGGCUAGGGUUGUGGCUCAGUGGCAGAGUGCUGGCCUAGGAUACAUGAGGCACUGGAUUUGAUCCUCAGCACCACGUAAAAAUAAAAUAAAGAUACUGUGUCAAAAAAAAUACACACCACAUGAAAUUUACUGUCUUAACCAUUUUUAACUGUGCAGUUCAGUGGUAUUAAAUAUAUUGAUAAUGUUAUUCAACCAUCAUCACAAUGUAUUUUCAUAACUCUUUUCAUAUUGUAAGACUGAAAGUCUAAACUUAUUGAACAAUAACUCCUUAUUCCCCUUUCCUUUCAGCUACCAAUAGUCAUCAUUUAUUUUCUGCCUGUAUGAUUUUGACUACUGUAACUCAUGUAACUGUAAUCAUAUAGUAUUUGUCUGAUUUAUUUCACUUAACAUAAUUUCCUCAAGGUUCAUCCCUUUUAUAGCAUAGAUCACAAUUUCCUUCCUUUUAAGGCUGAAUAAUAUUCCAUUGUAUACAUAUGUAUAUCAAAGUUUGCUUAUCCAUUUAUCCAUCCAUGGACACAUAGGUUGCUUCCACGUUUUAGCUGUUGUGAAUAAUAGCUGUUAUGUAACUGGAUGUAUAAGCAUCUCAUAAAAUCCUGCUUUCACUUAUCUUGUGUUUAUACUCUGUUGCUGGGUGAUAUGGUGAUUCUAUUUUUAAUAUUUGAGGACCAACCAUAUUGUUUUUCUUAGCAGUUGCACAGUUUUACAUUUCUACUAACAGUAUACAAGGCUUCCAAUUUCUCUACAUUCUUGCUACACUUCUUAUUUUCUAAUUUUUUUUUUUUACAUUAGUCAUCCUAGUGGGUAUGGGUGUGAGGUGAUAUCUCACUGUAGUUUGCUUUUUUAAAUAUUUUUUAGAUGGACA
rnacentral:lncRNA from 1 species